CCUACGGGAGGCAGCAGUGGGGAAUAUUGGUCAAUGGUCGCAAGCCUGACCCAGCAACGCCGCGUGAGGGAAGAAGGCUUUCGGUAUGUAAACUUCUUUUCUGCGGGACUCAGAAAGUGACGGUACCUCAGGAAUAAGCCACGCCUAACUACGUGCCAGCAGCCGCGGUAAUACGUAGGUGGCAAGCGUUAUCCGGAUUUAUUGGGUGUAAAGGGCGUGUAGGCGGGAAAGCAAGGCAGAUGUGAAAACUCAGGGCUCAAACCUGAGCCUGCAUUUGAAACUGUUUUUCUUGAGUGCUGGAGAGGCAAUCGGAAUUCGGGGUGUAGCGGUGAAAUGCGUAGAUAUACGGAGGAACACCAGUGGCGAAGGCGGAUUGCUGGACAGUAACUGACGCUGAGGCGCGAAAGCGUGGGGAGCAAACAGGAUUAGAUACCCGAGUAGUC
rnacentral:rRNA from 1 species